rfam:Chlamydomonas reinhardtii strain CC-503 cw92 mt+ CHLREscaffold_39 genomic scaffold, whole genome shotgun sequence.
GGCGAGGUGGCCGAGCGGUCUAAGGCGCUAGUCUCAGGCACUAGUCGGUUCAUCCGACGGAAGCUACUAGUCCGAAAGGGCGUGAGUUCAAAUCUCACCCUCGUCA